rnacentral:misc_RNA from 1 species
UUAGGGCAAAUGACCAGGG